rnacentral:rRNA from 1 species
GAGACCCACGCCCACAGUUGCCAGCGUACUCUCCGGAGCGACGGGUACACUGUGGGGACCGCCGCUGCUAAAGCGGAGGAAGGAAUGGGCAACGGUAGGUCAGUAUGCCUCGAAUGUCCCGGGCUACACGCGGGCUACAAUGGCUGGUACAAUGGGUAUCUACCCCGAAAGGGGAUGGAAAUCUCCUAAAGCCAGUCUUAGUUCGGAUUGAGGGCUGCAACUCGCCCUCAUGAAGCUGGAAUCCGUAGUAAUCGCGUUUCAAAAGAACGCGGUGAAUAC